rnacentral:rRNA from 1 species
GAUGAACGCUGGCGGCGUGCCUAAUACAUGCAAGUCGAGCGAACAGACGAGGAGCUUGCUCCUCUGACGUUAGCGGCGGACGGGUGAGUAACACGUGGAUAACCUACCUAUAAGACUGGGAUAACUUCGGGAAACCGGAGCUAAUACCGGAUAACAUGUUGAACCGCAUGGUUUAACAGUGAAAGACGGUCUUGCUGUCACUUAUAGAUGGAUCCGCGCCGCAUUAGCUAGUUGGUAAGGUAACGGCUUACCAAGGCAACGAUGCGUAGCCGACCUGAGAGGGUGAUCGGCCACACUGGAACUGAGACACGGUCCAGACUCCUAAGGGAGGCAGCAGUAGGGAAUCUUCCGCAAUGGGCGAAAGCCUGACGGAGCAACGCCGCGUGAGUGAAGAAGGUCUUCGGAUCGUAAAACUCUGUUAUUAGGGAAGAACAAAUGUGUAAGUAACUAUGCACGUCUUGACGGUACCUAAUCAGAAAGCCACGGCUAACUACGUG